rnacentral:siRNA from 1 species
GCCAUCAAAGAGAAUACCCAAUG